rnacentral:rRNA from 1 species
GUAAAGCUUUUGCGGUUUGGGAUGGGCCUGCGUCCUAUCAGGUAGUUGGUGAGGUAAAUGCUCACCAAGCCUAUGACGGGUAGCUGGUCUGAGAGGAUGGUCAGCCAGACUGGGACUGCGACACGGCCCAGACUCCUACGGGAGGCAGCAACUAGGAAUUGUGCGCAAUGGACGAAAGUCUGACGCCGCGACAUCGCGUGGAGGAUGAAGGUCUUCGGAUUGUAAACUCCUUUUCUUACCGAACAAGUUCUGAGUGUAGGUAAGGAAUAAGUGCCUGCUAACCACGUGCCAGAAGCAUCGGUAAUACGUGGGGCACGAGCGUUAUCCGGAUUUACUGGGCGUAAAGAGAAGCGUAGGCGGCUCGAUAAGUUUGGUGUUAAAUCUUCCGGGUCAAGCGGAAACAAGCACCGAAAACUAUCGAGAUUGAGUCGAGUAGGGAAGAGGGGAAUUCCUGGUGGAGCGGUUAAAUGCGUAGAUAUCAGGAGGAAUACCAAGGGCGAAGGCACCUCUUUGGACUCGUACUGACGCUGAGGCUCGAAAGCGUGGGUAGCAAAACGGAUAGAUACCCGUGUAGUCCGCGCCGUAAACGAUCCCUGUUAGAUGU